rnacentral:lncRNA from 1 species
GCAUCUAGGGCACACAUCUAACACCUUCAUCUUCCUACAUGCCCCAAAUGAUAGCACUGGAUUCGAGUUGGCAUCAUGAGUCUUCAUUCGAGUGGUCUGCACAAUUGGAGACUAUUCUAGUCCUCUAUCAGUAUGAUCUUUUUGUUACAGGCCCAUCUUUGGAUCCAGAUGAGGGGGUUGAGGGGGUCACUCAGCUUGCAGAUGCUCCGACAGCACCUGCUAUUUUUCAUGCACAUGAUUAGAAGACGUCCACUAAUAUAAGGGAGGG